CGAACAAUCGUGAGGACGUUUUCAUUCGAAGGCAUCUUUGCAAGGAUCUGUUUCCUAGAAGGAGCUAACUCCAUGUGCCACGGAUCGCGGUGGAUGAUGGGAUCAUUGACGAUACGUUUGGGUUUAUCAUCGACUAAACGGUAUGCGAGCAUGGAUAAAGUAGACCGCGGCCUUACCGAGGAACGUCGGUAAAUGGAGCCACGCAUGACUUCGGUUAAAGAGGAGCGUCCAAAAGCUUAUCAAAAUUUCAAUCAGGCUCAACGUUCAUUUGCAAAUCUAAACAUUCUUUAACAUUAAAUAUUACUAGCGCAUGCGAGUAUCCAGAGAGGUAUUCCGAUAAACUUUGGAUAUUUUCAGAUAUUCUGUCUGAAUGCACAGAAUGCAUACAGAUCGAUGGGAAAUUCAUUUAAUAUUGAAGAGGUAUCACUCUAUCUAACGUCAGAUUAGCUGGAUAGAACUAAUACAUUAUAAACCAGCAAGACAUUUCGUACGAAAACAAUAUUAAAACAGGAUCAAACAAUUAAGUAUGUACCGUCCGUGAGUAUGCGGGAGACAAACUUGUUUAUUUUAAAAAGAUACUCUACAAGGCAUAGUCAACUCGUGAAACUAAACAAGAUGUAACAAGGAUCGAGGAAUAUGUAAUGGGAGAUUUUAUUCAUUUUUAAAUCUCAAUGUAGUUAAGGAUUGACUACAAAAGCGUGUUUAGACCCUUGCGGCUGGUAGAUAAGAAGGAAUUUGUCGCCCUACCGCGAUAUGUCAUCGUUUUCAU